UACAGAGGUCCCGAGCGUUGUUCGGAUUCACUGGGCGUAAAGGGUGCGUAGGUGGUGGCGUAAGUCGGAUGUGAAAUCUCGGAGCUCAACUCCGAAACGGCAUUGGAAACUGCGCUGCUGGAGGGUUGGAGGGGGGACUGGAAUUCUCGGUGUAGCAGUGAAAUGCGUAGAUAUCGAGAGGAACACCAGUGGCGAAGGCGAGUCCCUGGACAACACCUGACACUGAGGCACGAAAGCUAGGGGAGCAAACAGG
rnacentral:rRNA from 1 species